rnacentral:rRNA from 1 species
GAUGAACGCUGGCGGCGUGCCUAAUACAUGCAAGUCGAGCGAACGGACGAGAAGCUUGCUUCUCUGAUGUUAGCGGCGGACGGGUGAGUAACACGUGGAUAACCUACCUAUAAGACUGUGAUAACUUCGGGAAACCGUAGCUAAUACCGGAUAAUAUUUUGAACCGCAUGGUUCAAAAGUGAAAGACGGUCUUGCUGUCACUUAUAGAUGGAUCCGCGCUGCAUUAGCUAGUUGGUAAGGUAACGGCUUACCAAGGCAACGAUGCAUAGCCGACCUGAGAGGGUGAUCGGCCACACUGGAACUGAGACACGGCCCAGACUCCUACGGGAGGCAGCAGUAGGGAAUCUUCCGCAAUGGGCGAAAGCCUGACGGAGCAACGCCGCGUGAGUGAUGAAGGUCUUCGGAUCGUAAAACUCUGUUAUUAGGGAAGAACAUAUGUGUAAGUAACUGUGCACAUCUUGACGGUACCUAAUCAGAAAGCCACGGCUAACUACGUG